AGACUGACAAAAUAUUUCCGGACAUAUCCCAUUCAACCACCGCAAAGAUUCAUAAAUCGAUUUGGGUUUUUCCACAUUCGUCACAUAGUCUGAGUAAACUAGUAACAACUAUAGGGUGUGCCACUCUGCCAUAGUCAAACAGAUUGUUGAGUGAAUUUCUUCUUGCAACGUUCAACCUUUUGAUUUGACGCUGUGUUUCAAGCAACUGUCUUAUAGUUUCUUCGACCUAACGUGAAACUCAAGCUCUUUCACUAAUCAAAGAUGGCUGAGCGAGUAACAGCAAAGUCAGUCUUAAGAAAGAUCAGUCAGAGACAUCUUGAAUGUCAAAUUUGCAUAGACCGCUUCGUGGAGCCCAAGAUGCUGGAGUGUUCUCAUUCAUAUUGCCUGAAAUGCCUUCAACAACUUGCACAGACUAACCCAACUAGUCAAACACUGAUAUGCCCAGUGUGUCGUAGUGAAACAUUACUGGUUGAAAAAGGAGUUUUUGAGUUACGUAAUGAUUUCAAAUCGACUCUUAUGUUAGAUGAAAUAGAACAGCAUGAAACAGAGCUACGCAACCAACAAGAAAAUCAGCCACCUAAUCAGGAGUAUGUUUCUAAAUGUAGCAAGCAUACUGACAAGGAUGUUAUCAUGUACUGUGACUCAUGCAAACAGUUGAUAUGUACAACUUGCAUUGCAAAGGACCACAGCAUGCAUCCUGCUACUGAACUAAGUGUGGUUUUUGACAACUGCAUGAAGAAAACCAAUGAAAUAUUUGCAGAAGUAGGACAACAUUACAUAAGUUUUAAGAUUGCCAUGCAAGACAUAGAAUUGUUUCACAAGACGUUGGAUUCUAUGUUUGCUGCAACCAAAGCAAAGAUCUCCAAGAAGGCAGAUGAUGAGAUUGCCAAGGAGGUUGCAAGGAUCAGAGAGGAAGAGAACAAACUCAUGUUGGAGUUAGUCCAGACGUUUAAAGACAAAUCCACAAAAGGAGAAACUGCAAAAGCCACAAAUGACAAAGAAAUGACAAAAGCACAGAAUAUGAAAGUUGUAGUUACGCAACUCAUGGACAAAGCGAACUUUUCUGAGAAUCUACUUCUCAUAGAGAAUAUGUUACAAGACCUCAAAGAAUACACAAAGACACAACCUAAACAAGUGGCUCAGGAACAGGCUUACAUUGACUUCGAAGAUGAUCAGGAAUCAUUCGGGAGACUGAGAAUCAACGCAAAGCAGAAGCCAGAAGGAGCAGCUUCUGCUGAAGCUAGAAUGCCUAUAUGCAAACCCAAGACACAACUGACACAAAAACUAUGGACUCUAAAAGCAGAAAUAAUAACAUACAGGCCUAAGAGCAGUAAAAAACAACAAACCUUCUGUGCAUUAAGUGUUGCUUCCUACUGCAAUAGCGACAUUGUCUGUGACAUCAAGAGCAACACCUUGAUUACAAUAUCAGCAGACAGCAUUGGCAAAUCAAAGGUCAUCUCAAAAGAGCUGUCUAUUAAAGGCCUCACUGAUCCAAUCAGAGUGGCUGUGAACAAGAAUGAUAAGCUCAUCGUUGUAGAUGACACUGCAGUUAAGAUCUUCAAUAGAAAAUAUAAGCGUCUCCAUCAGUUCGCGCUGUUAGUUGGACAGCCAUUCGACCUACCACCAUCUAUAGCUGUGGAUGACAACAAUCUGAUAGCAGUGGGGUAUCACCAGAUACAGAUCGAUCUACACAGACAAGAUGGAUCUUUCUUUAGAACACUACUUGCUCCAGGGAUUGGUCAAUACUUGAGUAUCCACAAACAGCAUCUUAUCUACAUCAAGACACGUGCCAAGAAGAAGUUAGUAUCAAUAGACUACGAUGGUAACGUUGUAUUCUCGGUAGAUAUCAAUCAGUCUUGGUGGUAUCGUGGGUUGUGCUGUGACAAGGAUGGCAGCAUCUAUGUUGCUGUAUGGGAUGGCGAAUCAUCAUCAGGUGACAUCCAUCAUUACAGUCCUGAUGGCGAAUACAUUGGAUGCAUUAUUAAAGGCUGCACUUAUCCACAUGGUAUAACAUUCACACCAGCUGGUGAUCUGGUUGUGGCUACACAAGAAUCAGUUCAAAUCUACUGUCAUGACUAAAGACAGCAAUGAUCACUGAAUGGCUCACACAAAAUGGCACAACUUUGGAGAUGGGGGUGGUUCUUAAAAGACAGUUGAUAAACUCAUUGCCAUUAUCGUGAGUUACUAAGAGGACUGGAUCUAAAAAGGUCACAACUGAAAGUUCAACCUUUGCCAGAACCCUGUGGUUUCUCUAGCUGUGAAUCAUUUAUAGGUGUCUUUACGAAAGUCACCUUUGGACAUCCAGACAAACUGAAGGAACAGCAAGCGAAGCAGCAGGGAUUGGUGGACCUGGGAGUGCUGGACCUUAACCCUGACCCUUCAGAGGUCCCUCAAUGGGUUGAGGAUGGUGCUCAACGUUGACGGGAGAGACCACGUAGACCCUUACAGCAUGCUGCCUCAGAUAUCACAAAAUGUCGCAUACAGACGCAUGGGACUGAUGUCACACUUUGAGGCUCAUGAAUUACGCCAGAGAGUGGCCUCUUAUAUAGGUCAAUCCCGCCCAUCUUCACAUUCCACCCACAUUCAUAUGCAUACGACCGCAAGUGCAGCUGCCAAACGUCACCUCGGACCAAUCAAAACAGAAUACUACGUCACUGCAUGUUUGUCCAAUGAAAUUAGUGUAUCCAAUGAAAUCGCUGGUUUUAAAAAGCAAGUACUUGUGGUAAUCCUUGAGCAGAGGACCAGUCUACCUGCAAGCCGCCUGGUGCUGUCUGAACCGACUCAUGGGUUCGCUCGUCCCCAACGCCUUGCCAUAACCAAAGUGACGUUGUGUUCAGGAAUUUCGGCAAGAGUGUGCUACUUCGGUCAAGAGCCGGACCCGGGGCAACGGAACAAACUUCGUUGGGUUAUGCCAAUGAAACGUGAAGAUUGCUGCUUGUGUACAUCCAUCAAACCAGGGGGAGUCAACACAAACGCAGUCACGAGGCCAUAUGAACCGUACGUGACAGAUAGUCCACUCUUUACGGGCAACAAACAAGAGAUUCGUGACUACUUUCAUUGUUCGACAGGCGAGAGAUCUGUUGAGCCCUCAUACCACUACGAGGACGACAUACCAAGCUUUGGACCAGCUAAAUAGCAACCACUAUUAAAUCAUUGGUUGUUUCGUGCAUCUUAAUGAGAAUUUGUAACUUUCUCUCAAAUCUGGAAAAGUCUAAAGACAGAGUGAAUUCACAUUUUAGUUUUGUUUGUGUUAUCCUCGACAAUUCCUCAGACUCCACUGUAUUUUAUAAUUCUUGCCUGUAUUUUACUUGUUGUAGUUGAAAGAAUUAUGUGGAGAUUGUCUAAGACCUUAUGUACAUGACGUCAUUUCGGUAGGGCGCCCUCACCUAUAGGACACGGAGGUUGAUCAUUGGCUAAUAGUAAUACUGUGCGCCGCGCGUACAAAUCUGUGCGUCUCGAUUGUUACGUCACCGUUUUUCCUCUAAGAUGGCGGCUGGACGACGUCAAUGCAUAAGGUCUAUAAAUAAAUAAAUAUAAUAAAAAUAAGAAUAUCUUGAAACUGUGUGGUUUAGGUCUGCUACUUUGGUGGACUCAUUUUUACUCCAAAAUAGCGGACCGUAUGUUCUGCUUGUUGUAAUGUAAGAAGCAAUCUUAAAGGAACACGUUGCCUUGAAUCGGUCGAGUUGGUCUAUGAAAAGCGUUUGUAACCGUUUGUUAUAA